rnacentral:lncRNA from 1 species
AAUAAAUUAUAGUUAUAUUAUUAACAAAUUAUAGUUAUAUAAAUUAUAGAAAAAUAUAAUAAAUAGAUUUAUAAAAAUAAAUAAUGUAUUUAAAUUUUAAAGUUAAAAAGUCACUAAUUAAUUUAAAUUAAAUAAAUUAAAAUACUAAAUAGUAAUAAAAUAUAAAAUUUUAAAUAUUAGAUAAAGAUAAAUAAAAAAAGGGUGAUUGUGGAGAUAAAAUUUGCAUAUUUUUUAUAUUUUCGUAAUU